rfam:Gasterosteus aculeatus cont1.000883, whole genome shotgun sequence.
UAUAAGGAUUAUUGUAAGUCGCUUUGGAUAAAAGCGUCAGCUAAAUGUCCUUCA